rnacentral:rRNA from 1 species
GAUGAACGCUGGCGGCGUGCCUAAUACAUGCAAGUCGAGCGAACGGACGAGAAGCUUGCUUCUCUGAUGUUAGCGGCGGACGGGUGAGUAACACGUGGAUAACCUACCUAUAAGACUGGGAUAACUUCGGGAAACCGGAGCUAAUACCGGAUAAUAUUUUGAACCGCAUGGUUCAAAAGUGAAAGACGGCCCUGCUGUCACUUAUAGAUGGAUCCGCGCUGCAUUAGCUAGUUGGUAAGGUAACGGCUUACCAAGGCAACGAUGCAUAGCCGACCUGAGAGGGUGAUCGGCCACACUGGAACUGAGACACGGUCCAGACUCCUACGGGAGGCAGCAGUAGGGAAUCUUCCGCAAUGGGCGAAAGCCUGACGGAGCAACGCCGCGUGAGUGAUGAAGGUCUUCGGAUCGUAAAACUCUGUUAUUAGGGAAGAACAUAUGUGUAAGUAACUGUGCACAUCUUGACGGUACCUAAUCAGAAAGCCACGGCUAACUACGUG